ACAGGAGCAACAUCCAUCCAGACAAUGGAGAACAUCUACGCCAAUGAAUCCAUUGAAGAUUUCCCUAAAGGUACACCAAUGACCCUAGGAGGAAAUAAUGAUUGGAGAAAAGAGCAAGGUUUAGAAAACUCUAAAAAGAGAGUUUAUGUCGGUGUUAUCAUCAUACUGGGGCUCCUCACUACUUUCCUGCUGGCUGGACUGAUCUUCGUUCUUAUCCGCUUUAUCCACUGGGGGCACUGAGAGCGAGUUCUUUUGUGUAGGCAGCACCGUGCUGAAGAAGAAGCGGCA